rnacentral:rRNA from 1 species
AACGAACGCUGGCGGCAGGCUUAACACAUGCAAGUCGAGCGCCCCGCAAGGGGAGCGGCAGACGGGUGAGUACCGCGUGGGAACGUACCUUUUGGUUCGGAACAACUCCGGGAAACUGGAGCUAAUACCGGAUAAGCCCUAACGGGGAAAGAUUUAUCGCCGAAAGAUCGGCCCGCGUCUGAUUAGCUAGUUGGUGAGGUAACGGCUCACCAAGGCGACGAUCAGUAGCUGGUCUGAGAGGAUGAUCAGCCACACUGGGACUGAGGCACGGCCCAGACUCCUACGGGAGGCAGCAGUGGGGAAUAUUGGACAAUGGGCGCAAGCCUGAUCCAGCCAUGCCGCGUGAGUGAUGAAGGCCUUAGGGUUGUAAAGCUCUUUUGUCCGGGAAGAUAAUGACUGUACCGGAAGAAUAAGCCCCGGCUAACUUCGUG